rnacentral:rRNA from 1 species
AAAGCUCGUAGUUGAAUUUCGGGAUCAGUACGCUGGUCAUGCCUUUGGUAUGCACUGGUGUCACUGGUUUCUCCCUUCUGAAGAACCGUGAUGUCAUUAAUUUGGUGUCGCGGGGAAUCAGGACUGUUACUUUGAAAAAAUUAGAGUGUUUAAAGCAGGCUCGCGCUUGAAUACAUUAGCAUGGAAUAAUGAAAUAGGACGUUUGACCCUAUUUUGUUGGUUUCUAGGAUCGACGUAAUGAUUAAUAGGGAUAGUUGGGGGCAUUAGUAUUCAAUUGUCAGAGGUGAAAUUCUUGGAUUUAUUGAAGACUAACUACUGCGAAAGCAUUUGCCAAGGAUGUUUUCAUUAAUCAAGAACGAAAGUUAGGGGAUCGAAGACGAUCAGAUACCGUCGUAGUCUUAACCAUAAACUAUGCCGACUAGGGAUCGGAUGAUGUUAAUUUUAUAAUGACUCAUUCGGCACCU